GAUGAACGCUGGCGGCGUGCCUAAUACAUGCAAGUCGAGCGCUGCGGGGACGGGUGCGUAACACGUGGCUAACCUCCUAUAAGACUGGGAUAACUUCGGGAAACCGGCGCUAAACCUGCUACUUAUAUAUGGAUCCUCGCUGCAGUAUCUAGUUGGUAAGGUAACGGUUUACAAAGGCAACGAUGCAUAGCCGACCUGCGAGGGUGAUCGGCCACACUGGAACUGAGACACGGUCCAGACUCCUACGGGAGGCAGCAGUAGGGAAUCUUCCGCAAUGGGAGAAAGCCUGACGGAGCAACGCCGCGUGAGUGAUGAAGGUCUUCGGAUCGUAAAACUCUGUUAUUAGGGAAGCGGUACCUAAUCAGAAAGCCACGGCUAACUACGUGCCAGCAGCCGCGGUAAUUC
rnacentral:rRNA from 1 species